CUUUUUUGAUUUUUUUGUUGUCAUUGGACUUAUGGAAUUAUGGACCUUAUGGCCAAUGUGGUUUCCUUUGAUAUUUAUAGCUAUUUGGUAGUUUCUUUUGCUAGAUUCUAUGCAAUGCUGUUUUUAUUUUUAUUCAAUAAUAGUCUAACUCUUCUUGGGGUAAGUUUUCUGAAUUCCUUGAAAGUAGAAGAUCUGAUUUGUACCAAAACAGAAGUGAAGAGAUUGUAAGUUUUUCAGACAUUGCAGUGUGGUAAGUUAGUACCUCUUUUGUAUGCUUGUAUGCUCAGCAUGUUGUGGAGGUAAAAAAUGUUGAUGCUUGUAUGCAUAAGUUUCAGAAAUAUAUAGUACUUAUCAAAACCAAUUUUCUGGUAGAUGUCUGCAGCAGCAUUUACCAAAGGGCUUCUUGAUUUGGAGGGUCAAUUAACUCUAAUUCUGGUUUCAAAGUUUCACUGGUUAGUAAAGACUCUUCUAUGCUGGAUGGACUAGAAGAUGCUAGCACUGAGAUGGAUGAAGCAAAGGGCCUGGUUGUUCUUCUAUUGGCUUUGGAGAGGCAGAGAAACUUGGACCUUGCUUAAUGCAAAAAGGUGCGCCAAGACUUUAACAGGGGACUUGCAAAAAGAGAAAAUAGGGCUUGACUAUAUGAAUGUUGAAGCACUAAAAAAAUGAACAAAAACAAGAAGCUGGUCAAAAUGCUUGCUAAAAAGAACCAUGCUUUCCUAGCAUCAGAGGUGAUUAUUUAUAUUGAUAUUUGUUCUAUGUCAAGCAGAUAGUAUUUUUGGGCUAUUCCAUAUGUAAAUUUGGAUGAUUUGACUUGUAUUCCUUGUCUUUGUAAAGAUUAAAUGCUUUUUGAAUAUUGCUGGUAUUAGAUGAAUGAACAAAUAACUUGUAUUCCUUA